rnacentral:lncRNA from 1 species
AGUAGGUUGAGGGGAAAAAGACCUCCAAUAGGAAGCGAGGUCGAGAGGAACCUCAUAUAAAUCGGGUGGAAGGAGAGUCCUCUCAACCAUCGAAGAGCUCUAGGCUAAGGAACCCUCCUUGGUGGUUUAACAACUAUACUCCCCUAUUUGUUCCUCGAGCCCAGAUCCUGAUGGAAAUUGAGAAUUAGGGAUAUCUUCAUCUACCUCAACCAAUGAAAGCCCCAC